UUAAUUGAAGCCAAAAAGGCGGCUUAUUAUUGUUAAUAAUACCAUUGAAGUAAAUAUUCCAAUUAAA
rnacentral:tRNA from 1 species